rnacentral:rRNA from 1 species
UACGUAGGGUGCGAGCGUUAAUCGGAAUUACUGGGCGUAAAGCGUGCGCAGGCGGUUUUGUAAGACCGGCGUGAAAUCCCCGGGCUCAACCUGGGAAUUGCGCUUGUGACUGCAAGGCUAGAGUGCGUCAGAGGGGGGUAGAAUUCCACGUGUAGCAGUGAAAUGCGUAGAGAUGUGGAGGAAUACCGAUGGCGAAGGCAGCCCCCUGGGACGUGACUGACGCUCAGGCACGAAAGCGUGGGGAGCAAACAGG